GACAGAGAAGACCUUGAUUCCAGGAGGAGAUGACCUCAAGACAAGCAGCUUCCAUGCAAUACUGCAGCAAGGGCUUACUUUCCUGAGCAUUUCCCACGCUCCAAUCACUGCUCUAAUUCCUUUAGAUGUGUUAACUCACUUCCUGCUCACAAUACUUCUAUGAGGUGAGUGCUAUGGUUAUCUCCCUUUUUUAAGGUACUAUGCAGAUAGUGCCAGAGCUGAUAAGUGUCAGAGCAAGAAUUCAGGCUCAAGCAGUCUGGCUUCAGGGCCCAGGCUCUGGACCACUCUUCCAUCCCGUUGCAGCAGUGGUUGAGUGGAUUAUGUGGUGGGAACAGCCUACCCAGUGCUCAGAACCCAGAAAUGAUCAGAAAGACUCACCGUGGUGCUCAUGGGUUUUCAGCAGUCAUCUCUGUUCAUGUUCCCAAACCAUGCCAAUCAAUAUUCUUUGCUGCUAUUGGGUAGAUGAGGAAAUGGAGGGACCAAGAUAACUGCCCCAGAGCCAACCCCAGGUCCAGCGGACUCUUUCCUCCUCAGAGGCUUGCCCCAGGAGAGACCAGCUGAACAGGCAUUGCCUGGGACUCCUUGGGGAAGUGGAGGUUGGAAAAGUAAGUGAAGGAACAAGCACUGGGGGGGGGGUCAGUGUUCAGUUCAUCCCUUGCUAUGGCCCCAUCCUCAAACCUGUCACAAAGCCCUGCCAGCCAGGGCACCCACAAAGCCCACCUUCUCCAGAGGGGCCUGAAUCUCUUGUUGGGCUUGGUGUGGGUUUCGGAGGCGAUGACUGGGCUGAAGUGACCUCUCUCAUUCAACAGACUCAGCCACUCAGGGCUGGGCCUGGCCUGACUCUAGGAGCACAAGAUGCAGCCUCUGUCCUCAGAGAUUCAAAGGUUGAGCAGACAUUGGCCACAGUCCCGGCUGGCUCCGACCGUGGCAGAGGCUGAACCAGAGCAGAGGAGGAAGCAGAGGGGUGGGCCGCAAGCUCUUCUUGGAGUCUCAGGAGCUGCAGAGAGCAAGCUGGGCUUCCUGGAGGAGGAGGCGUGAGAGUUGGGCCUUGAAGCACUCAGCAGCUGUUUCCUGAGCUGAUGUACAUCUCAUUAGUCUAUCAAGCUCCAACAGCCAAGGCCAAGGCCCCCAGAAUGAAAAACUGACGCAGCCACCCCUUCCUGUGCCAGAGACAGGAGAAGGGAGGGAGACUGACGGCCUUUGUUCUCUGAGCAAGACCGUAAAGCACUUCGCCUACAGGCCACAAGAGGGCGAUGGUGGUCCACACAUAAGAUCUUCCCAAAGAGCCAGCCAAAAACGCCUGCCUGGAGAAUCUGGAGGUUGUGAAAGGUGACUUUGUUAAGGAAGGGCGAUGGCCCUUCUCCCUGCCCCAGAGCUCUGAAAGCCUUUAAAGUGGCUUUAGCAGCGUGGUUUAAGAAUGGCUCCUUCGGUACAAGGACGGCCAUCACUGCUUCUCCUACUGUGUUUGAUGCCAGCGUUCUUCCCGUCUGCAGGGAAGGACGGAGAGUGAGGAGGGCACACAGGACGUAGCUGGCUCCUGGCCAUGGACGGUGACCGCUCUGGGGCCAGCAGGGUAGAGCUGCCUUCCUACAUCUGAGAACUCAAGGGCGAGAGGGAGGCAGGGCAGGGGAGAGGGUUGGUCUCAGUUCACAGGGCGACCCUCUGGCCCUGGUUCUGACGGCGACUCGCUGUGUAAGCUAAGGAGUGUCUCGCUCUGUACAGCGGGCAGGUGGUGGGUCUCUGCACGUCCAGCAUCUCCAGCUUUCCGUCCUCUGAGCUGUUUUGACAUGGGAGGCGCUGGCAGGGAGAGAGGGGUCACUGAUGUGGGAAGCUGGUGCAGAGCUGGGGAGUAGCUUGUGAUGCUGGAGAACCUGGAGAUGCCCCUCCCAUUCCUUGGGCCUCGACUGUCUCAUCUGUGGAAUGGGCGGGUCAGACUGGAUAAUCUCUAACCAUUGCUUCCCUUCACUUCUGUCCCAAUAAACACACACGGAGCUUUUUCGUUUGUCUUUUGUCUUUUUUUUUUUUUUUUUUUUUUUUUUAGAGACGAGGUCUCACUAUGUUGUUCCCCAGGUCUGAGUACAG
rnacentral:lncRNA from 10 species